rnacentral:rRNA from 1 species
AAUGAACGCUGGCGGCAGGCCUAACACAUGCAAGUCGAGCGAGCAUUUCGGUGCUAGCGGCGGACGGGUGAGUAACGCGUGGGAACGUGCCCUUUUCUGCGGAAUAGUCCUGGGAAACUGGGGGUAAUACCGCAUACGCCCUUUUGGGGAAAGAUUUAUCGGAGAAGGAUCGGCCCGCGUUGGAUUAGGUAGUUGGUGGGGUAAUGGCCCACCAAGCCGACGAUCCAUAGCUGGUUUGAGAGGAUGAUCAGCCACACUGGGACUGAGACACGGCCCAGACUCCUACGGGAGGCAGCAGUGGGGAAUCUUAGACAAUGGGGGCAACCCUGAUCUAGCCAUGCCGCGUGAGUGAUGAAGGCCUUAGGGUUGUAAAGCUCUUUCAGCUGGGAAGAUAAUGACGGUACCAGCAGAAGAAGCCCCGGCUAACUCCGU